GACGAACGCUGGCGGCGUGCUUAACACAUGCAAGUCGAACGGAAAGGCCCUGCUUUUGUGGGGUGCUCGAGUGGCGAACGGGUGAGUAACACGUGAGUAACCUGCCCUUGACUUUGGGAUAACUUCAGGAAACUGGGGCUAAUACCGGAUAGGAGCUCCUGCUGCAUGGUGGGGGUUGGAAAGUUUCGGCGGUUGGGGAUGGACUCGCGGCUUAUCAGCUUGUUGGUGGGGUAGUGGCUUACCAAGGCUUUGACGGGUAGCCGGCCUGAGAGGGUGACCGGCCACUUUGGGACUGAGAUACGGCCCAGACUCCUACCGGAGGCAGCAGUGGGGAAUAUUGCACAAUGGGCGGAAGACUGAUGCAGCAACGCCGCGUGCGGGAUGACGGCCUUCGGGUUGUAAACCGCUUUCGCCUGUGACGAAGCGUGAGUGACGGUAAUGGGUAAAGAAGCACCGGCUAACUACGUG
rnacentral:rRNA from 1 species